rnacentral:rRNA from 1 species
CACUCGGCUCGUGCGUCGAUGAAGAGCGCAGCCAGCUGCGUGAAUUAAUGUGAAUUGCAGAGCACAUUGAACAUCGACACCUUGAACGCACAUGGCGGCCUCGGGUUCAUCCCGAGGCCACGCCCGUCUGAGGGUCGGC